UAGAGGAAGUAAAAGUCGUAACAAGGUCUCCGUAGGUGAACCUGCGGAGGGAUCAUUAAUGAGAACUUGCCCUAGCGGGUAGAUCUCCCACCCUUUGUUUAUUAUACCUUUGUUGCUUUGCCAGGCCCGUCUCUCGGGGCCGCCGGCUCCGGCUGGCCAGCGCCUGGCAGAGACUCCAAACUCUUUUGUAUUUGUCGUCAGAGUACUAUAUAAUAGUUAAAACUUUCAACAACGGAUCUCUUGGUUCUGGCAUCGAUGAAGAACGCAGCGAAAUGCGAUAAGUAAUGUGAAUUGCAGAAUUCAGUGAAUCAUCGAAUCUUUGAACGCACAUUGCGCCCUCUGGUAUUCCGGGGGGCAUGCCUGUUCGAGCGUCAUUACAACCCUCAAGCCCAGCUUGGUGUUGGGAGCCACCCCAGCGGUGCUCCUCAAAGGCAGUGGCGGCGCCUCUCGGCUCUAAGCGUAGUAAUUCAUUCUCGCUCUGGGGACCUAGAGGUGGCUUGCCAGCAAUCCCAAAUCUAUCAAGGUUGACCUCGGAUCAGGUAGGGAUACCCGCCGAACUUAAGCAUAUCAUAG
rnacentral:rRNA from 1 species